UACGGUAGGGGGCAAGCGUUUGUCCGGAUUUAUUGGGCGUAAAGAGCGUGUAGGCGGCUAGAUAGGUCCGUUGUGAAAACUCGAGGCUCAACCUCGAGACGCCGAUGGAAACCAUCUGGCUAGAGUCCGGAAGAGGAGAGUGGAAUUCCUGGUGUAGCGGUGAAAUGCGCAGAUAUCAGGAAGAACACCCGUGGCUAAGGCGGCUCUCUAGUACGGUACUGACGCUGAGACGCGAAAGCAUGGGGAGCGAACAGG
rnacentral:rRNA from 1 species